rnacentral:piRNA from 1 species
UGUUCCCGUGAUAUUCAGGGU